CGCGGUGUAGCUUAAUGGGAAAGCGUUCGGCUGAUAACCGAGAGACUUCAGGUUCGAUUCCUGACUCCGCGACCA
rnacentral:tRNA from 1 species